rnacentral:RNase_P_RNA from 1 species
CAGGUACAACAGAUAGCGACUUAAUUAACAUUAAGAGGAAAGUCCGAGCUGCUCUAAGACAGUGUUCCAUUUAACUAAUGGCCGUAGUAAUGCGAGGGAAAGUGCAACAGAGAGCAGACUUCCAUUUUUAGUUUACUAAAAGUGGUAAAGGUGAAAGGGUGGGGUAAGAGCCCACCAGUCUUUAUAGCAAUAUAGAGAGCUUGUAAACCCAACAUGGCAGCAAGAAACAGGUGGUCAGCGUCUUAAGGGUAGCUCUGCGGUAUAAACACCGCAGAGCUGCUUAUGCUACUGUUUCGCUAGAGUUACUAUGUAAAUAGUAAUGUAGAUUAAUGCUAUCAAAACAAAACUCGGCUUACGUUGUGCCUACCUC